GAUGAACGCUAGCGGCAGGCUUAAUACAUGCAAGUCGAGGGGCAGCAGGGGUGUAGCAAUACACUUGCUGGCGACCGGCAAACGGGUGCGGAACACGUACGCAACUUACCCUGAACUGGGGGAUAGCCCGGGGAAACCCGGAUUAAUACCCCGUAACACUGUGAGGUGGCAUCACCUUAUAGUUAUAGCUCCGGUGGUUCAGGAUGGGCGUGCGGCUGAUUAGGUAGUUGGUUGGGGUAAUGGCCCACCAAGCCUACGAUCAGUAACUGGUGUGAGAGCACGACCAGUAAAACGGGCACUGAGACACGGGCCCGACGCCUACGGGAGGCAGCAGUAAGGAAUAUUGGGCAAUGGAGGCAACUCUGGCCCAGCCAUGCCGCGUGGAGGAUGAAGGCCCUCUGGGUUGUAAACUUCUUUUACCUGGGACGAAACCUUUCUUUUCUAAGGGAGUUGACGGUACCAGGGGAAUAAGCACCGGCUAACUCCGUGCCAGCCGCCGCAGUAACAC
rnacentral:rRNA from 1 species